rnacentral:lncRNA from 1 species
AGAAUCUUUUACUAUAAAAAUGCAGGGGCAGAGCAUUUUAAGGGAAUAGCAAUGAACUGUCAAACGUAUCAAAGUUCUGCUAAGACCGCAAAUCAAGAACAAAUAGUCAGUGUUUGGUAUUAAAUCUCCCACUAGUACUAUUAACCCUAGUGGCUCCAAUUUCCAGGAUUGGGUGCUUAUCUCCCCUGGUGCAGGAAUAAAGGUAACCUAGAGCCUUAAUCCAGAGUUGGCUAAGUAGGCGUGACAGCAGAUGCAUGAACACUUUGCAUUACAUUAAAGUUGACUGAAUAUGUACCAUCAAAAUAAAUAAUGUGGUGGCCCACCACUUGUAUUAUUUACUAUACAGGUGCUCCAUAUAUCAAUAGUUUUGUUUGCAUGUAGUUUUUUUCAGCAUGGAAAAAGAACCAGGG